rnacentral:rRNA from 1 species
UACGAAGGGUGCAAGCGUUACUCGGAAUUACUGGGCGUAAAGCGUGCGUAGGUGGUUCGUUAAGUCUGAUGUGAAAGCCCUGGGCUCAACCUGGGAAUGGCAUUGGAAACUGGCGACCUAGAGUGCGGUAGAGGGCAGUGGAAUUCCCGGUGUAGCAGUGAAAUGCGUAGAGAUCGGGAGGAACAUCUGUGGCGAAGGCGACUGCCUGGACCAGCACUGACACUGAGGCACGAAAAGCGUGGGGAGCAAACAGG